rnacentral:rRNA from 1 species
UACGUAGGCAGCAAGCGUUGUUCGGAGUUACUGGGCGUAAAGAGUGCGUAGGCGGUUUCGUAAGUUUGGUGUGAAAUCUCCCGGCUUAACUGGGAGGGUGCGCCGAAAACUGCGAGGCUGGAGUGUGGGAAAGGUAGGCGGAAUUCCUGGUGUAGCGGUGAAAUGCGUAGAUAUCAGGAGGAACACCGGUGGUGUAGACGGCUUACUAGACCAUGACUGACGCUGAGGCACGAAAGCGUGGGUAGCAAACAGG